UUUACAGCUUUAUUACAUACUGCAUCACAUGUAAGUCUAGGAAUCAAGUGAUCACAUAUUCAUUUCUUGAAUCUAGAUUUGGUUCCCGUGAUGGACAUUUUCAGCAGCAACCAGCUUAUAAAUUAUUCACGGUGUUUGAAUUUCCUUAGACGGCCUUCAUACCCACAAGGAGCUCGGCAUUGCUAUGUAUCUUAUUUUCUCAAAGAUGUUUCACAUCUCAAAAAUAAAAGCAAUAAAGUCGAACACGUAAUAAAAUGGAAGUAUCAAAGCCCUCAAUUUCUAUUGAGCAUAAGGGUUUGAAAAAACCUAUUUUACAAAACAUCAAUACCAUAUCUCAUUAAAACUAAACUUUUAUACAAAAUUCAAACCCUUUGUAUAUAGGUGCAAACGAGGCAUAACACUACUUCCAAACAACUGCACAUAGACCUACACACACACAUUCAGAUAAAUGUUUAAAAUAAAAAGUGGCGGUCACUGUGUUACCACGGAUGUCGGGUGUGGCGACCCCAAAUCCGGAUACUUGAAACCCGAACUCGGUUCUCCACGAUACCAUUUCUUUAAGCUGAAUAAUACUAAAUAAUAAUACAUUCGAACUUAAUUUACAUACAUCAAAGUUUACUUCCCCAGGUACAUGACCUUCAAAUACAUUCCUUACAAUACUUGAAUAGAUACCAAUACAACUAUAACCAUUAACUCAUAAUACACACUUAUUCGAUCAGCUUUCCUUUUCCUUUGUUCGUGCCUGAG
rnacentral:lncRNA from 1 species